UGGGGAAUAUUGCGCAAUGGGGGAAACCCUGACGCAGCGACGCCGCGUGCGGGAUGAAGGCCUUCGGGUUGUAAACCGCUUUUGAUUGGGAGCAAGCUUUCGGGUGAGUGUACCUUUCGAAUAAGCGCCGGCUAACUACGUGCCAGCAGCCGCGGUAAUACGUAGGGCGCAAGCGUUAUCCGGAAUUAUUGGGCGUAAAGAGCGUGUUGGCGGUUCGUCGCGUCUGGUGUGAAAGCCCAUCGCUUAACGGUGGGUUUGCGCCGGGUACGGGCGGGCUAGAGUGCAGUAGGGGAGACUGGAAUUCCCGGUGUAACGGUGGAAUGUGUAGAUAUCGGGAAGAACACCAAUGGCGAAGGCAGGUCUCUGGGCUGUUACUGACGCUGAGAAGCGAAAGCGUGGGGAGCGAACAGG
rnacentral:rRNA from 1 species